rnacentral:ncRNA from 1 species
ACUGGACUUGCGUUUAGCAGGUGGCUACUCCGGGCGCCGAUCCCCCGGACAACC